rnacentral:rRNA from 1 species
AGAGAAAUUUGGAUUAAUACCCCAUAGUAUAAUGAAGUGGCAUCACUUUAUUAUUAAAGAUUUAUCACUCGAAGAUGGCUGUGCGGCUGAUUAGGUAGUUGGCGGGGUAAAGGCCCACCAAGCCUGCGAUCAGUAACUGGUGUGAGAGCACGACCAGUCACACGGGCACUGAGACACGGGCCCGAUCCUACGGGAGGCAGCAGUAAGGAAUAUUGGUCAAUGGAGGCAACUCUGAACCAGCCAUGCCGCGUGGAGGAUGAAGGUCCUCUGGAUUGUAAACUUCUUUUAUAUGGGACGAAAAAAGGCUUUUCUAAGUCGUCUGACGGUACCAUAUGAAUAAGCACCGGCUAACUCCGUG